ensembl:lncRNA novel transcript
AGUGCCUAAGUUUUCUCUGAGAUUCAUGAGUCAGAAAUGGGAGCCCUCCCCUAGGACUGGUAACUGGCGCACCAUGAAUCUGCUUCACAUAUAACACCUGCCAGGUGUCCUUCAAAAAUGUCAUGUGCUCAUAAACACUUCAAAUUCUCAGUGGUUCUUUCUGAAUUAUAAACUCCAUGAAGACCCAAUUCCAUCAGCAGCCAUUGGAAGUUUUUGACAAAAUGGGAAGAUCACUGCUGUAUAUUUGUAGUUUAAAUAGCGAGCAUUUAAAGCUUUCUCUGAGGCAGUUUCUGGAAAGUUAAAGACUAAUGAGAAAAACAGCUGAAGAAACUCUCCCCAAUGAGUUUAUGUCCCUAAGCGAUGAAUUUUUGAAUGGUGCAAUGUUCUAACAUGUGAUGGACAGCGAAUUCCCAGAGAAUCAUCAAGUACACUUUGGAAUAAAUGAACAGCAGGACAUAUUUUUUAAGGAGUGCUGAGCCGCAGUAAAACUCCAGAGAAUGCUCUAAUUUCUUGAUUUAUUUCCUGGAUUUCCUCCUAAUAAACAAAGAAUGAUGAAAGCAAAUAUGCAAGGGCCAAGUUUCUACGGUCCAGCAAUCACAGAAUCAUUAAUGCUGUGAUGCUUCCAAGAAUAUGGGCAAACAGCAAGAGAAAGAAACUAGUAAACUUUGAAGAAAUCCCUUUGAGAAAAUUUUUAAAUGAUCCAGGAUAAAUAGAAAAUAAUGUGCUGCUGUUCAGAUAAAUUUACUGGAGAAACCACAAAGAUGAGAUUGUUAAGGAAGAGUCAAGGGAUGGGGACUAUAAAAUGCAUAUGCUUCUCCAGAUAACACUGAGUUUUCAGAGUGGCAACCAACAUUGCAGCUUUGAAAAGAAAAAAAAACACUUGGAAAGUGAAAAAGAAAGAGGGGAAAUUAUAUGUACAAUUAUCAGAAAAGCAACAUCUGAGAAUUCAGCAA